rnacentral:misc_RNA from 1 species
AUCUUCAACCUCCAUGUCUUUUUCUAAUCUUUGCUGUAUUGUUUGAACAAAAUCCUCUUAUUCACAUGUCCCUUGAAUAGUUGGUUUCCAAAUAAAUAGCUUCUAUCAACAACAAAACAGUCGGCCAAGUUGUCACCGAAAAUUUGUAUGUUAGAACCGUUUAAGUAAGAGCAACUGAGCAACCCAGUCAGAGGAAUAAAAAUCCG